GCCGAUGUAGCUCAGUGGUAGAGCAAUGCUUUCGUAAAGCAGAGACAUGGGUUCGAUUCCCGUCUUCGGCU
rnacentral:tRNA from 1 species